rnacentral:tRNA from 3 species
CGGGCCGUAGCGCAGUUUGGUAGCGCACUUGACUGGGGGUCAAGGGGUCACGGGUUCAAAUCCCGCCGGCCCGACCG